rnacentral:tRNA from 1 species
UAGCUCAGUCAGUUGAGCGUAGUGCUAACAACGCUAAGGUUGUGGGUUUGAUUCCCGU